GGUAGCGCAGUUGGUAGAAGCAUCGCACCGGUAUCGCGGAGGUCAUUGGGUUCGAAUCCCGUUGUAAACA